GUUGCCUUAGCUCAGUGGUUAUGCGUGAUCUUUUUGCGAUGGCUGCUUGGGUUCGAAUCCCACAUGUGUCA